GUAAAGUGUAACUUUAUGUCUUCCUCUUUUCUUUCAGUCCCAGAAUGUGGCUGUGGAGUUGAUUAGUGGUUCACUGAGCCAGAUUUUACCCAGCGUCCCUCAGAGAGGAAACAUCCAAAGCCUCCAGAAGAUCAAACCUGUAGAGAUUUCCCAUAUACUCCACGCACAGCUCUCAGAGACUGACAAAGUUGGCAACAGUGCAAGUGAGAAGUUACAGAGACUCUAUCUGCAGAAGCAACAACAACAUGGAAGUUCUAGGCAUCAGCUGGUCACACUUCUGAAAGAGCUGGAGCUUCUUGAAACCCCGCUGGCAGCGCAAGGACAGCACAAGGCCAAGCAUCAGACGCAGGAAGCCCACGUAGCGGCCGCCAUCACCGGGUGGAGAGGCCAGACUAAAGAGGGCAAGAAAAACCAGGCUGCCCAAGUUCCACAAGAAACUGUGAUGGACAUUCAGAAGCAGAUCCAAAGCCUGGAAGUCAAUCACAUUCCAGCCCAGCUGGAAGAGACUAAGCGCGGCAUGAAGGUGCUUCUCAAAGACCAGGGAACGAGCACCUGUGACGACGACGCUCAGAUUCAGUUUAGGGAUGUGGCUGUGGUCACUGAUUCAUCAGCAGAGCGUUUGGCUGCAGAAGAGCUGCUGGAGUCUCUGAGGAAAGUGGAGGACGUGGUUUCACAGGCCUUGCGGGCAGCUCAGGUGCUCAUGGGCAGCGAGGAGAGGAUAGAGGCCAUCGGCAUGAGGGUGGAGAAAGCACUGAGCAGAGCUGAAGCUAUUGAGAGUCAACUCAGUGCCCUGGAGGCCACCAUCUCUGCUAACACACAGGUAUGGACC
rnacentral:lncRNA from 1 species